CGCAACCAAUGAUCUUCCUGUGUGAAACAUGUACCGAAAACGGAACAUGUACGGCAUUUUAGUCACAGUAACUGUCUAAAAUAAUUUUAAAUGGUUGUAAAGACCACUGGUGCUGCCUCGUAUCUCCAUUUAUUAUUGUUUUCUUUUUAAAUAAUCGCUAAAAACAAACAUAAUAAAGGUUAAAAGGGUUAUAAAAUAACAUUCUCAUGAACCACUUCAACAUUUUUGAGAUUGGGGUUGUUUUAAGUAUACUUUGAUCUUGAGUCCUCUAAGAAUAACCCUUAGCUUUGGUCCAAAUAGUCGUUCAUACUAAAUGAAGUCCCUAUGGAUGUCGUGUUGUGACAUUUUGGUCCUUGCUUUUGGUUUUGUGUUUUUGUUUACCUUUUUAGCAAGAUGUUUCUUAUUUGUGUUUUGUAUUCAUGUUUGUUGUGGUUUUCUGCUUUGGUUAUCGUCUGCCCCCCAGUGUGCUCUCCUAGUUCGCUUUCCUGUUUUCUUAGAAGGGUUUCCUUAUUAUGAUUAUUAUUAUUUAUCAGAGUUCUCUGGCACUCUCUUAUUUAUUAGUUUCUUUUUUGUUACUCCUCUCAUCAUUUAUUUUCCCCUUUUAGUUAUUACUUGGUUUAAGUUCCCUUUAUUCUCCUGUUCUUCUUAGCUUUGUUCCCCUAGUUCAUCCUUGUUCUCCAGCCUCUCCUCUAUAGGUUAGCUUUAGUUAUUGUUUACUUUUAUUCUAGUCCUCGUUUCCUCUGCUUCAUUCUUAGUUUUAUUCUAUCAGUGUUGGUUUGAGUUUGUUUACUUUUGUAGUCGGGGUUUCCUUAUGGUUUCUGUUUUACUAAGUUCUUAGGUUCUUGUGUUCCCUCCAGUUUCUCAGUUUCCUUCAGUUCAUGUUUAUCCUUGAUUCUUACGCUUUAUUUUUACCUUGGUUUAUAGUUUCAUUUAGGUCUGCUUACUGUCUUGUCUUUAGUCCCUUUCCUCAUGCUUUGGUUUUAUUAGGUUCACCUGCUCCCUCUGCCUCCUUGUCUCACCUGUUCUUAGUUCCUUUGAUUACCUGCCUUUGUUCUCUUACUGUAUAUUAGUUGGUUUUAUUUCAUUGUCCUUUGCUGGUUCCUCCCGAUCACAACCCUCUAGUUAUGUUUGUUCCUUGCUACGUUCCUGCAGCGUGAAGUCUAGUAGGUUUUUGGCUCUGAACUCUGAUUACAUACCUGCAGUGUUUUUUGUGACGCUUUGACGGAUUUGGAAUAAAGCUCAAGAUUUACUUAAGAUGCUGUUACCGAACUCUUGUCUACACUUUGGUCCACCCUAAAACCCUUCAUUGCCCUUUGCUGGUUCCUCUCAUCUCUCACCUUCGUUCGUUGCCCUCGUCCAUGCUUUGAGUUCCGCAUGUUCCUGCAGAAACUUUGUAAGUUUGGAUUUCUGACUCUGGUUUACAUCUGCAAUGUUUUUGUUUCCUUUUUUGAUAUUUUGAAUAAACUAAAGACUGCUUGA